AACGAACGCUGGCGGCAUGCCUAACACAUGCAAGUCGAACGAGACCUUCGGGUCUAGUGGCGCACGGGUGCGUAACGCGUGGGAAUCUGCCCUUGGGUUCCGUAUACCAGUUGUAAACGACUGCUAAUACAGGUUGAUGACGUACGUCCUAAGAUCUAUCGCCAAAGGAUGAGCCCGCGUAGGAUUAGCUAGUUGGUGAGGUACAGGCUGGCCAAGGCGUGGAUGCUUAGCUGGUCUGAGAGGAGGACAAACCACACUGGAAAUGAGACACGGACUAGAAUCCGACGGAGGGCAGCAGAGGAGAAUAUUGGAGGAGGGAGGAAAGCCUAACCCAGCAAUGCCGGGUAAGAGAUGAAGGGGUUAGGGUUGUAAAGCUCUUUUAGACGGGAUGAUAGUGACGGUACCGGGAGAAUAAGCACCGGCUAACUACGUG
rnacentral:rRNA from 1 species